rnacentral:rRNA from 1 species
UGGGGAAUUUUGGACAAUGGGCGCAAGCCUGAUCCAGCUAUUCCGCGUGUGGGAUGAAGGCCCUCGGGUUGUAAACCNCUUUUGUUAGAGAACGAAAAGACACCUUUUAAUAAAGGGUGUUGCUGACGGUACUCUAAGAAUAAGCACCGGCUAACUACGUGCC